rnacentral:rRNA from 1 species
AUACGUAGGACGCGAGCGUUAUCCGGAUUCAUUGGGUUUAAAGGGAGCGUAGGCGGGAGCUUAAGUCAGCGGUUAAAUGAUGCGGCUCAACCGUGCCCUGCCGUUGAAACUGGGUUUCUUGAGAGUGCAAGAGGCGGAUGGAAUUCAUGGUGUAGCGGUGAAAUGCUUAGAUAUCAUGAAGAACUCCGAUUGCGAGGGCAGGCCGCUGGGGCCCGUCAGACGCUGAUGCUCGAAGGUGCGGGAAUCAAACAGGAUUAGAUACCCUGGUAGUCCGCACGGUAAACGAUGAUUACCCGAUGUAGGCGGUAGACAGUCGGCGGCCAAGCGAAAGCGAUAAGUAAUCCACCUGGGGAGUACGCCGGCAACGGUGAAACUCAAAGGAAUUGACGGGG